rnacentral:lncRNA from 10 species
CCCAGCCCGACACCCGUAAAGGGUCUGUGCUGAGGAGGAUUAGUAUAAGAGGAAGGCAUGCCUCUUUGCAGUUGAGACAAGAGGAAGGCAUCUGUCUCCUGCCCGUCCCUGGGCAAUGGAAUGUCUCGGUAUAAAACCCGAUUGUACGUUCCAUCUACUGAGAUAGGGAAAAACCGCCUUAGGGCUGGAGGUGGGACCUGCGGGCAGCAAUACCGCUUUGUAAAGCAUUAAGAUGUUUAUGUGUAUGCAUAUCUAAAAGCACAGCACUUAAUCCUUUACCUUGUCUAUGAUGCAAAGACCUUUGUUCACGUGUUUGUCUGCUGACCCUCUCCCCACAAUUGUCUUGUGACCUUAACACAUCCCCCUCUCGGAGAAACACCCACGAA